rnacentral:other from 1 species
UUUUGCCUGCGGUGUGCGUGUGAAACCUAUAUUUGGAACCGCAUUUCAUAAAAAGGGAUUGCUUGUACUCGUGAAUAUGUCAAGCCAUAGUCUUGCUUUAAGCAACACAGGUGGAAGACAAAAAACACGGUCGGCUUGCCCACCUGCUGCGGCGGGUUACAGAAUCGGUUUCAUUCACGGCUCUCGCGGGUUUUUA